AAUAGAUCACAUUCUGCCAUCUUCUACCAUCUUCUCCCCUUUACCAAUCUUCAACCGAUCAGUUUUCUACUGGCUUUGUUUCCUUAUCCGGACAUCUUGGAACAAAUAACAAGAGAAACACUCACCUUAUGCAGAAGUAUUUAAGAGAAGCUUCAGCCCAUUGUUGAGUUCUCUUCAUACAUUCUAAUUUUGCAAUUUCAUAGCUGUUCUGAGCUAAAUCUGAGGGUGUGACUUGAGCAAUUAACCAUAAAGAAACAUAUCAUGUGCCUGGGUAGCAGAUUUCUAUGAUAAAAUAGAGCUUGGAUGGUAGAAGCACCAUAUUUGACUGAAUGGAUACGAAAUAGUAUUGUUCUUCAACUGGGUAUUUUGAGAAUGAUGAUGGGCCUGUUUAUGUAUGCCCAAGUAAGUAUUACUUACAUAUGCACAAAAUGUGUUUGAUUUAUUUUUGUAUGGUGUUUGAAGUUUAUUUUGAUGGUAAUGGUCAUUUUUGAGAUGGUUGCAGUGUUAUUUUCAUUGUCUCCCAGUUCAGAUUUUCUUCUUCAUCUGCGGCAGCUGGUAAAACCAGUGUCCAGGAGAAAGUCAAUGUGCUCACAUAGUAAAGGUACGUGUGGUAAUGGUUUUUUCAGUAUUGAUUUUAUAUUUUGGCCCAAUUCCUUAGAAUGAAGAUACACAGAUUGAUUUGUGCAGAUAUGAACUUUUAUAUUCAUAGAUAUUGCCUUUUCUGUCUUCUUUUACCUUUUUCACUUUUCUUUGUCUGUUUGUGCAUGGAGGGUCUUUGCAUUUCUCUCUUUUCUAUUAUGUUUUGCAUAAAGCUUGAUUCCAUCUCUCUAUCCCUAAUAAGCAGCACAAAUACAUAUUAACAUUGUGGACAAGUCUUACAAUAUUUACAAUGAACAAACUGAAAGAGUAACAACUUCUAAUCAAACACUGUGUUGUGGCGAGUCACUGCCUUGAAAGCGAUUUGAUCCGACUAGGAUGCAAAUUGUUUCGACCGGUCACUCUCCAAUCCGUAAUUGCUCAUUGAACUAUGACAAUUUGUUUUGAAUUGUAAUUCAGGGUUGCAAGCUGGAUUAAGUUCCUAAAUUAUUGAGUUUCUUGUAUCUUAAGUAGCUCUGCAACAAAAUAUUACUUAGUUGUAUAUAAGAAAGUGAAAUUUAAAUAGUGCAACGCUUCUGAGGCUGGAAAAGUGGUCCGGGGGUCUCUAUAAAGGAGUUAAGAUCUUUGAUGUUUGGAUUUUAACUAUUCUGCUUCUAGAAAGGAGCAUUUUCCCCAAAAACUCCAUUUCCAUGAGAGCUUAUUUGUAAAAGACCCCAUUAAGUCUCAUCCAUCACUAUUAUUUUUCGGUUAGUUUCAGCUUCUUGCUAAAAAUUCAUAUGCUUACAUAAAUCUGUGACUCUAAAAAUAUAAAGAACUACGAAAGUUGUAAGUGAGCCUCAUCAUGUUGGGUGAACUUUGUUGCAGGGUAUUUUUUUGUUCGAGUCAUUUUAACUGUCUUGUGUUAAUCUUAAACAACCUUUACGUACUUUGCCCCUGCUUUAUAUGUAUGGAGCUUAGAUAUCAAAGAAUUUACGUUUGUUGUUCUUAAUUUCCAUGUCAACGGAAUAGAUAUUGCGUAUAACAACUGAGAAGGAAAGAUACAUUUCGUGAAUAAGGAAGCUAACAACCGAGAAGGUCCAACAUCCAAAUAUUCUUUAUAUAGUGAAUAUAAAAGAUUGCAGGUUCCGUUUUUUAAUAAAGUCAUAAGGUGCUUCAAAAAAAGAUUCUGUGUUAUAUGUUUCGACUGUUUCUUUGUUUCACUAUAUUUUUGGUGAGUACCAAACUUCAGACAUACAAUUUAGUACUGGCUUCUGAAAAUUGACAUUCCUGAAAAUGCAUCUUAUGGUGGGAAGGUAGAUGGGAUCUUGGCGGCUGAGGACGAUGAUAGCCAAUGACACUGUUAACAGGUAGGUUUUCCUUUAUCAUUAAUAGACAGAACGUCAGAUGAUACUUUCCAAUCAUUUGCCUUGGCAGCCAGGGAUAAAAAAUCUACAUGAAGGAAUUAGAGCAAGUGUAAUACAUCGUGACGUACAAGUUACAACCAAGCAACAAAUUGGUAGAAAUGUUUGAUGAUAAGGUCUCAAGAUUCAAGCCUGUAAAAUUAGAACUUCCUUAGAAGCACUCAAACAUUAGCAGUUAGAUACAAGGCAAUUUGAGUAUUACACUGAUAUCUUGAUGUCUACUGCUAUAAUGUUAUACUAUAGUAGUUUGUUGUUGCUAGAACUGUAACAGAGAAAAGUAGAGGUUAAUCUUACUUAUCACAUUAUUAUUUAUGUAUUGGCUAAGGAGAGUUGUAAGACGUUAUAUUCAGCAACUAACAUGUAAUAUGCAAGAGCAUUUUCCAUUUGAUUAACGAGGAAGAUUGAGGAAGUUGGUAUU